rnacentral:rRNA from 1 species
UGAAUACGAGACGCUAAGGCGUCGAAGUAGUGUAUGUCAUGCUUCCAAGAAAAGCUUGCACUGUCAUAGAUAAAAAACGCCUGUACCAUAACCGACACAGGUGGGUAGGUAGAGUAUACUAAGGGGCGCGAGAUAACUCUCUCUAAGGAACUCGGCAAAAUAACUCCGUAACUUCGGGAGAAGGAGUGCCUUAUUCGUAAGGUUGCAAUAACAAGAUCCAAGCAACUGUUUAUCAAAAACACAGGUCUCCGCUAAGUCGUAAGACGAUGUAUGGGGGCUGACGCCUGCCCAGUGCCAGAAGGUUAAAGAAGUCGGUUAGCAAUUGCGAAGCUGGUAACUGAAGCCCUGGUGAACGGCGGCCGUAACAAUAACGGUCCUAAGGUAGCGAAAUUCCUUGUCGGGUAAGUUCCGACCCGCACGAAAGGCGUAAUGAUUUGGAUACUGUCUCGGAGAGGGGCUCGGUGAAAUAGACUUGUCUGUGAAGAUGCGGACUACCUGCACCAGGACAGAAAGACCCUAUGAAGCUUUAUUGUAACUUGAAAUUGAAAUUGGACUUUAUUCGCGCAGUAUAGGUGGGAGGCGUUGAUUAUAAUCUUGCGGGAUUAUUGGAGCCAUCAGUGAGAUACCACCCUUGUAAUGUUAGAUUUCUAACUUUGAAUCAUUAUCUGGUCAAAGAACAGUUUCAGGCGGGCAGUUUGACUGGGGCGGUCGCCUCCUAAACGGUAACGGAGGCGUACAAAGGUUUCCUCUGAACGGUUAGAAAUCGUAUCUAGAGUGUAAAGGCAUAAGGAAGCUUGACUGUGAGACCUACAAGUCGAGCAGGGACGAAAGUCGGUCUUAGUGAUCUGACGGUACUGAGUGGAAAGGCCGUCACUCAACGGAUAAAAGUUACUCUAGGAUAACAGGCUGAUCUCCCCCAAGAGUUCACAUCGACGGGGAGGUUUGGCACCUCGAUGUCGGCUCAUCGCAUCCUGGGGCGGUAGUACGUCCCAAGGGUUGGGCUGUUCGCCCAUGAAAGCGGUACGCGAGCUGGGUUCAGAACGUCGUGAGACAGUUCGGUCCAUAUCCGGUGUAGGCGUUAGAAUAUUGAGAGGAGCCUUCUUUAGUACGAGAGGACCGAGAAGGACAUACCUCUGGUGUACCAGUUAUCGUGCCAACGGUAAACGCUGGGUAGCUAUGUAUGGAGUGGAUAACCGCUGAAAGCAUCUAAGUGGGAAGCCCACCUCAAGAUAAGUAUUCUCAUCACGUAAGUGAGUAAGGUCACGGUAAGACUAACCGUUUGAUAGGCAUUAAGUGUAAGUACAGUAAUGUAUGUGCUGAGAUGUCCUAAUAGACCGAGGACUU